rnacentral:rRNA from 1 species
UGGGGAAUAUUGGACAAUGGGGGGAACCCUGAUCCAGCCAUGCCGCGUGUGUGAAGAAGGCCUUAUGGUUGUAAAGCACUUUAAGCGAGGAGGAGGGUACUGGUAUUAAUACUACCAGGUACUGGACGUUACUCGCAGAAUAAGCACCGGCUAACUCUGUGCCAGCAGCCGCGGUAAUACAGAGGGUGCGAGCGUUAAUCGGAUUUACUGGGCGUAAAGCGUGCGUAGGCGGCUAAUUGAGUCGGAUGUGAAAUCCCCGAGCUUAACUUGGGAAUUGCAUUCGAUACUGGUUAGCUAGAGUGUGGGAGAGGAUGGUAGAAUACCAGGUGUAGCGGUGAAAUGCGUAGAGAUCUGGAGGAAUACCGAUGGCGAAGGCAGCCAUCUGGCCUAACACUGACGCUGAGGUACGAAAGCAUGGGGAGCAAACAGG